rnacentral:rRNA from 1 species
GGCGUAAGGGCGCGCAGGCGGUUUCUUAAGUCUGAUGUGAAAGCCCCCGGCUCAACCGGGGAGGGUCAUUGGAAACUGGGAAACUUGAGUGCAGAAGAGGAGAGUGGAAUUCCACGUGUAGCGGUGAAAUGCGUAGAGAUGUGGAGGAACACCAGUGGCGAAGGCGACUCUCUGGUCUGUAACUGACGCUGAGGAGCGAAAGCGUGGGGAGCGAACAGGAUUAGAUACCCUGGUAGUCCACGCCGUAAACGAUGAGUGCUAAGUGUUAGGGGGUUUCCGCCCCUUAGUGCUGAAGCUAACGCAUUAAGCACUCCGCCUGGGGAGUACGGUCGCAAGACUGAAACUCAAAGGAAUUGACGGGGGCCCGCACAAGCGGUGGAGCAUGUGGUUUAAUUCGAAGCAACGCGAAGAACCUUACCAGGUCUUGACAUCCUCUGACAAGCCUAGAGAUAGGACUUCUCCUUCGGGAGCAGAGUGACAGGUGGUGCAUGGUUGUCGUCAGCUCGUGUCGUGAGAUGUUGGGUUAAGUCCCCGCACGAGCGCAACCCUUGAUCUUAGUUGCCAUCAUUCAGUUGGGCACUCUGAGGUGACUGCCGGUGACAAACCGGAGGAAGGUGGGGAUGACGUCAAAUCAUCAUGCCCCUUAUGACCUGGGCUACACACGUGC